UACGAACUGUGCGAACGUUAUUCGGAAUCACUGGGCUUACAGGGUGCGUAGGCGGCUUUUCAAGUCAGGUGUGAAAGCCCCCGGCUCAACCGGGGAAUUGCGCUUGAAACUGUUGGGCUCGAGUCAGCUAGAGGUGCACGGAACUUCCAGUGGAGCGGUGAAAUGUGUUGAUAUUGGAAGGAACACCAGAGGCGUAAGCGGUGCACUGGGGCUGGUCUGACGCUGAGGCACGAAAGCCAGGGGAGCGAACGGG
rnacentral:rRNA from 1 species